UACGGAAGGCAGCAGUGGGGAAUAUUGCACAAUGGGCGAAAGCCUGAUGCAGCUAUGCCGCGUGUAUGAAGAAGGCCUUAGGGUUGUAAAGUACUUUCAUCGGGGAGGAAAAACAAAACUAAUAAUUUUAUUUCUUGACGUUACCCAAAAAGAAGCACCGGCUAACUCCGUGCCAGCAGCCGCGGUAAUACGGAGGGUGCUAGCGUUAAUCAGAAUUACUGGGCGUAAAGAGCACGUAGGUGGUUUUUUUAAAGUCAGAUGUGAAAUCCCUGGGCUUAACCUAGGAACUGCAUUUUGAAACUGAAAUACUAGAGUAUCGUAGAGGGAGGUAGAAUUCUAGGUGUAGCGGUGAAAUGCGUAGAUAUCUGGAGGAAUACCUGUGGCGAAAGCGGCCUCCUAAACGAAUACUGACACUGAGGUGCGAAAGCGUGGGGAGCAAACAGGGAUUAGAUACC
rnacentral:rRNA from 1 species